rnacentral:lncRNA from 1 species
CCUAGAAGUUUGAGCAGCGGGGCACUGAAGAAGCAAGCCACACCCACAUCGCACGCCCUGCGAGGGGGAUGACGGAACCUUUCCCGUUUCAAUAUGACCAUAGCUGCAGUUAUGGCAUUAACCACCCAGUUGUUACCUACUUCUAGAUGAAAGCUCAAUUUUCCUACAUAAUUAAGAGUUUGGAAUUCGGGCAAUAUCAAGAACCACAUCUGUCCUGAAAUCAAUUAUCUCUGUUUGGAAUAUGGAUAUGAGAGAUCACUUUGCUGUGCUGUAAAUGAUCGAUUAAAAUACAUAUUUCUUUUGUCUCCUGGUACUUUCUUAUCCCAGUGCUGUGCUGAGCCAUAUUGGAGCCUAAGGCAAAAGGGACCAUCAGUAACACUAAUCCUGUCUUUAUUUAAAAUUUUGAUAUUUUGUUCAUCAUGGAUUUAUUUGCAUAAAUUUUAAUAUUGAAAUCUAUUGAUUAAAAUAUUAUGUAUCUUGA